UACGUAGGGACCAAGCGUUGUUCGGAUUUACUGGGCGUAAAGGGCGCGUAGGCGGCAAUUCAAGUCAUCUGUGAAAUCUCCGGGCUUAACUCGGAACGGUCAGAUGAUACUGCUUUGCUAGAGUGCAGAAGGGGCAAUCGGAAUUCUUGGUGUAGCGGUGAAAUGCGCAGAUAUCAGGAAGAACACCGAUGGCGAAGGCAGAUCUCUGGCCGUAACUGACGCUGAGGAGCGAAAGCAUGGGGAGCGAACAGG
rnacentral:rRNA from 1 species